ACAAAGACUAUGAAGGGAAGAGUAGUUAUAAAACAAAGUAGUAGCGAGCUGGUUAUGGUGGAAGUCCAGUACAAUGUCUAUAAUGAAGAACAUCCCGGAGUUACUAACCGAAAUCAUAAAGAGAGUAGACUUAGUCGGAGCCAAACCGUUAUAAUUGGUAAUGUAUAUUAGUACAUUAAUGAGGUGAACUUUUAAGUUAAAUUAGGUGGUACCGCGGAAGUGCAGUCUUUCGUCCUAUAG
rnacentral:ncRNA from 1 species